GACGAACGCUGGCGGCAUGGAUUAGGCAUGCAAGUCGAACGAAAAGCAGGAGCUUGCUCCUGUGGACGAGUGGCGAAAGGGUGAGUAACGCGUGAGUAACCUGCCCUCAAGUUGGGGAUAACUCCUGGAAACGGGAGCUAAUACCGAAUGUGAAUAUCUUCUCGCAUGGGUGGAUAUUUAAAAAUUUAUUGCUUGAGGAUGGGCUCGCGUACCAUUAGCUAGUUGGUGUGGUAACGGCACACCAAGGCGACGAUGGUUAGGUGGAUUGAGAGAUCGGUCACCCACACUGGGACUGAGACACUGCCCAGACUCCUACGGGAGGCUGCAGUCGAGAAUCUUCCGCAAUGCGCGAAAGCGUGACGGAGCAAUGCCGCGUGGUGGAUGAAGGCCUUAGGGUUGUAAACACCUGUCACAUGGGACGAAUUUUGACGGUACCAUGAGAGGAAGCCACGGCUAACUACG
rnacentral:rRNA from 1 species